CGGUGGCAGGACUGGGGAAAAGGAAGAGCCAGGCACCGCACCCAAAGCACCGCCAGGUCACGCUGCUGCCGUGCCGCACCCAGAAGCAGCUGCAUCUCAACUGCCCGAAAAACCUGAAGGCAGAAGUUCUCCAGCCCGUAGAGAGCUGUGAACGUGCUGAGGUCUACAAUGCCCAUAUUGCUGACAGAAAUGUCAACAACGAAGCCCCUCGGAGUGCUCCUGAUUUAUAGGUACUUCCAGAUCUCAAAGCUGAAGGAGAUGAACUACAGUGGACUCAAGCUCAACGAAUUGUGCCCAAAUCUGAUCUUGCAGGAGGAUUAUUCAAUGUAAUUCAUCUGACCUAAAUACAGUUACUCCUGAAGUGACAGAACGAGGACAAAAUUUAUAUAAGCAAGAGAUGGGAGAAUGAGGUGGAGGUGGGGCUUCACCAAGAAAGUUAUUUCCAUGGCUGCAAGGUGGGCCUCUAAACAAAGAACAAGGCUGAAAUCUAUGGCUUUUGCCACACCAGGUACGCCCAAAAACCACCGGACUUGCUACAGCAUUUAAAAGCCACCCUCGCUCUCAAGCAGCGAUUCCUCCAGGGCCUCCAGCUCCUCCAAGGGGAUUCUCAGCAGCCAGAUGAUGCGGCAGAUCAACACUCUUGCUCGAGCAUCAUAGUACCCUUAAACACAAGGAAGCCCAGGAAAUCAACUGGUUUUCAUCACACCAGAUUAAAUAGCAAGCGGUACACCCAGCUGUGCUCGAGAACCGUAUCGCACGCAAGCACAGCUCCGACCCUCAGGCCCUCUUUAUCUUUCAUGUAUUUAAAACUAUUAUUAGCUAGAGAAGAGAGCUCUGUGUGGAAAAUCCUCCCCCCUGCAAACCUCAGCCUUUCAGCAGAGAGUCACUGUCCCUGGUGGUUGUGGUUUAACCCAGCAGGCAGCUCAGCACCACACAGGCUGCCCCAAAGUGGGAUCGAGGAAAGAAUGGGAAAAAAGGU